CCGAGGAGGGGGCCGUGGGCCCUCUGAUCUGCCGCUGGUCAGAGGCCCAGGGGACAACCUAGCCUUGCGCCUGGGGCCUGAGGCGUGGGGGCCUCCCCAGCCUCCUAGUGGGAUUAACUAUUUAAUCACCUGCAUCAUCCCUUUAGUCUGUAUCAGAACUACCUAUGAUCCAUCAAUCCCACUCUGGGCCUUCGUCCAAAAGAAUUUAAAGCAGUGUCUUAAGGACAUCCUUGCACACCCGUGCGCAGAGCAGCGCUAUUCACAACAGCCAAGAGGUGACAGAUGAGUGGAUAAGCUCAAUGACCAUCCACACAAUGGACCAUUAUCCAGCCUUAAGAAACAACCACGCCCCGGGAGACGGGUGGAAUGCUGGCUCCGAUGAUCGGAUCCCUACUUCUAAACGGAAUAACUCUGAACACAGAGCGGGCCGAAGGGGAGACAGAACAGAAGCCACAGAGAGAGGCUGGAUGAGGAAGUCACGGGGUCAGAGACGCUGGAGGCCAUUGCGAUGGUGACA